rnacentral:lncRNA from 1 species
UAGAACAAGAAGAACUUGUUAGAGACUUUAAGAAAAUAAUGGUUAAGAGAGCUAAAUCAUUCGAAACAUUGAAGUUUUUGAGGGAAUGUAAAAUAAAUAUAAAGUGUACCCAUCAUCCAUAAAUCGAAUCAGAUUACCAAUUAACUCGAAGAAAGUGCUCCAGAGAGUUAAGAAAAUUUGUCUAAUAGCAGCAAUAGAAGACGCGAAGAAGAGAUUCUAUGGUCUCAUAAAGAAAGAAACACUAAUAUGACAAAGAGCGGGAGACUCGGGAACCCCAGAUACAAUUAUGAACACCAUAAUCGAGAGAGCAGAACACAUUAGGCAAUCCAUGAGAAAAAAGAAAGUAAGAAAACUAAGAUGGAUUUUGAGAAACCAGAAUGCCUACACAAACCCGACACACAUCGACAUAAAAGAUGCUUUAACUGUGAUAGGAGAUAUUCACUUGCACCCAUUUGUAAAAGAACUAUUGGAGAAAGGACCGUCCUGUG